rnacentral:rRNA from 1 species
AUUAGUGGCGAACGGGUGAGUAACACGUGAGUAACCUGCCCCAGACUCUGGGAUAAGCACUGGAAACGGUGUCUAAUACCGGAUAUGAACUUCCGCCGCAUGGUGAGGAGUUGGAAAGAAUUUUGGUCUGGGAUGGACUCGCGGCCUAUCAGCUAGUUGGUGAGGUAAUGGCUCACCAAGGCGACGACGGGUAGCCGGCCUGAGAGGGUGACCGGCCACACUGGGACUGAGACACGGCCCAGACUCCUACGGGAGGCAGCAGUGGGGAAUAUUGCACAAUGGGCGAAAGCCUGAUGCAGCAACGCCGCGUGAGGGACGAAGGCCUUCGGGUUGUAAACCUCUUUUAGUAGGGAAGAAGCGAAAGUGACGGUACCUGCAGAAAAAGCACCGGCUAACUACGUGCCAGCAGCCGCGGUAAUACGUAGGGUGCAAGCGUUGUCCGGAAUUAUUGGGCGUAAAGAGCUCGUAGGCGG